AAGUUGAAAUACUGGUUUCCAUAGAAUCAGGGAAGUUAAGCAAUGUCAAGCUGGUUCAGUACCAAGAUGGGUGACCACUUGGGAAUACCAGGGUGGUGUA